GCUGGCUCCAGCUGUAAAAGGCUAAUUUACAGGGGUGACGCGGUGCGGUGGCAGGAUCAUGCAGUGCGCUAGCCUAAAGCCGUAAAACCCCUGCAGGGUACAAGCAGAGCCGGCCGACCGCUGCCAACAAUACUGCACUGAUUACAGCUACGCCCGCUAAAAGACCGGACUCCAACGCCCACUCUACACCAGAUACAGGCACCAGGAAAAUAAAGAGUCUUUCAUCAGAAUGUCUCCGGCUGUCAAAAAUCCAGACCGGAACUUUUCAUCCCACCAUAAGUAGCACUGAUGUGGAUCCUGCUGACCUACGACUGCGUUGGCAAACACAGGAACAAUCAUAUCAUUAAGAUUCACUGACGACACUACAGUUCUGGGACUCAUCAACCCAGUCUGUGGACAACAAUCCCUUAACAUCAGCAAAACAAGGGAGUUGAUUGUCGACUACAGAUGACACAAAGUAGCUCGCCCUCCUGCGCAUCAGCACUUAGACUAGAAACAUCACUCAGAAUCACACGGAGCUCAAACACCUCUUCUUCUUGAAAAGGAAGGCACAUCAACACAAACGGCAAGAGUCUGUGGGUAAAAUGUAAUCUAAAUUGUCAGUAAAACCUACUGUAUACAGAGGGUGUAAGAAAGAAGACAGGAAACAAGUAUUAAAGUGGUAUUCACAUUCUCAUUCACAUUGCAUCCAAAUUGCCCAAGAUCUGAUUUUCAAUUUUCUUGUUCGUACUCUUAUAUUUCAUUUCCUAGUGCAUUUUUUUGGUCCUCAUUCACUUUCCUGGCCAUGAUGAGAAUGAAGCAGAAAGAGAAAGUGAGAGAGUGAAAGGUGAGUAAUGAAGCAGAAG